AUUCCUGUUCCCUUAUGACGGCUCAUCUAAUUUAGCACUCGUGAUGCUGCCUUUUGGAGUAACAACCCCGUAAUAGUUUGAUCUACUAGCUCCUAAUCCCAGCCCUGAGGACUUCAUUUCAACUCUUGUUACCCAGUUUUAUUUUAUUUGAAGGCUCUUGGUGUUCAAGGAUAACAUGGAACUGGGGAGAGAGAGAGAGAGGUGGAAAUAAGUCUCUCCUUUUAGAUUCUGUGAAGACAGAUCUAGAGUGAACCUUAUUUUAAAAUAUGGCCCUUACUUGUAAGAAUAGAGAGUGUUUGUGUCCUUUUCAAGUUGGUGUUGUCAAAAGGAUUGUUCCCAGGACGAUGCUCGAAUUGGCUUCAGAACUACCAUGAAAUGUCAAGAGAGCUGCUAGGAUCUGGAUAUUCUGUUUCCUGCCACUCUCCAGGCCACGUGUUUUGCCCUUUCUUCUUGCACUGCCACUUCUCAGCUUCCCUUCUUCCUCUCUCUGGGAUGUCAGGGUCCUCACCAGCUGGUCCUCAUGGUCACUUCUAUCUUCAGCAUGAAUCCUUAGUCAUCUUUAAGCAGCUUCAGAUACUGACUUCAGUGAAGAAUUAACUUACUGGAUAAGACCAUAAUGCUGGGAAAGAUUGAAAGCAAAAGAGGAGAGCUGCAGAGGGUGAGAUGGUUAAAUAGCAUCAUUGACUCAAUGGACACGAGUCUGAGCAAAGUCAGGGAGACAGUGAAGGACAGGGAAGCCUGGCAUGCUGCAGUCCAUGUGAUCACAGAGUCAGACAUGACUUAGUGACCGAACAACAACAAGAAAUAACUGGUAUACAAAAAAUGCACAUAUUUUAUGUAUGCAGUUUUAUAAAUUGGACAUACACAUAAUCCCAUGAUACCCUCAGUAAAAUCAAAGUAAUAAACCUAUACAUCACCUCCAAAAAUUUCCUUGCAUACCUUUGCUUUUUGCUUCCCUUGUGGCUCAGCUGGUAAAGAAUCCACCUGCAAUGUGGGAGA